rnacentral:rRNA from 1 species
CCUACGGGAGGCAGCAGUGGGGAAUUUUGGACAAUGGGGGAAACCCUGAUCCAGCAAUGCCGCGUGCAGGAUGAAGGCCUUCGGGUUGUAAACUGCUUUUGUACGGAACGAAAAGGCUCUGGCUAAUACCUGGGGCUGAUGACGGUACCGUAAGAAUAAGCACCGGCUAACUACGUGCCAGCAGCCGCGGUAAUACGUAGGGUGCGAGCGUUAAUCGGAAUUACUGGGCGUAAAGCGUGCGCAGGCGGUUUUGGAAGACAGGUGUAAAAUCCCCGGGCUUAACCGGGGAACGGCACUUGUGACUGCAAGGCUGAAGUACGGCAGAGGGGGAUGGAAUUCCGCGUGUAGCAGUGAAAUGCGUAGAUAUGCGGAGGAACACCGAGGGCGAAGGCGGUCCCCGGGGCCUGUACUGACGCUCAUGCACGAAAGCGGGGGGAGCAAACAGGAUUAGAUCCCCUUGUAGU